UACGGACGCGCAAGGUAAGUGAAUCCCGAACCUACACUUUAGAUGUAAAAUGUAUUGUAGUAUAAUGAUUAUUGUGAAUCAUGUGAGAAAGUAUGAUACAAUGGAAGUAAUAAGGUAAGUUUACGGUAAAGGUGUCGAAAAUGGUUAGGAAAUAGUUUCUAUUAAGUAUAGGAAUGAAAGAAGCUUACAUGAUGGUAUUAUGCAUAAAGAUGAAAUAAGUAGUUAUACGCGUAGGUAUGGGUUAGUUUGUAAGUAAGUAAUUGGGAAUCAUAGGAGAGUAUGACUAUAAACUCGUAAGUAUGGAGAAUUAAGUGUAUGCAAAUUACAUGUAUUGACGGGUGCGUUUAGGAUUGAAAGUAAUAUUGUGUAGAAUGUAAGUUGUACGCACAUGUACAAAUAGAAAAGGGUAUGUAUGCAUGUAUUGGAAUAUAGUUAUAUGUAUAAAUGAAUGAGACUUGUUAUGCGUAUACAUUGAUAUGUUCGUAUGAAUGAAUUCUAAAGAUGCUAACCGUUUUCCUAUUUAGAAUGAAAUAGGGAAUGCAGGUAUACUAGUGAUGGAAGUUGAAGGUUGUACAGAACUGUGGAUUCUCAUCAUGGAGUGUAAAAGGUUGAAGAUCGAGUCAAGAGAUGGAUUGUACAUGUGGGUGCAUGGUCACGUAAUUUAAUAGUAGUAUGCCCGAUUUUUAUAAAUUUAUAGAAAGCAUUAAUGUAUUUAAGGUAAAAGAGUGAAUUAAUGUAUUUCUAAGUAUGUUAGAAUGAAUAUGAUGAAAGAAAAUUUUUAAGUUCGUAUU